rnacentral:rRNA from 1 species
GAUGAACGCUGGCGGCGUGCCUAAUACAUGCAAGUCGAGCGAACAGACGAGGAGCUUGCUCCUCUGACGUUAGCGGCGGACGGGUGAGUAACACGUGGAUAACCUACCUAUAAUACUGGGAUAACUUCGGGAAACCGGAGCUAAUACCGGAUAAUAUAUUGAACCGCAUGGUUCAAUAGUGAAAGACGGUUUUGCUGUCACUUAUAGAUGGAUCCGCGCCGCAUUAGCUAGUUGGUAAGGUAACGGCUUACCAAGGCAACGAUGCGUAGCCGACCUGAGAGGGUGAUCGGCCACACUGGAACUGAGACACGGUCCAGACUCCUACGGGAGGCAGCAGUAGGGAAUAUUCCGCAAUGGGCGAAAGCCUGACGGAGCAACGCCGCGUGAGUGAUGAAGGUCUUCGGAUCGUAAAACUCUGUUAUUAGGGAAGAACAAAUGUGUAAGUAACUAUGCACGUCUUGACGGUACCUAAUCAGAAAGCCACGGCUAACUACGUG